GGGGACGAACGCGGAGUANGCAAUCUUGUUGUGGUCGGGAUCGACGCGGAGGACUUGGAUAGCCAGGGAUAUCUCUUGUGAGCUGAGCAGGAUAGAAGAGGCUGACACAAAGUACUUUCCCCUAGAUGUCAGUGGCUUUAGAGACGACGUUCCCCGUAGACGGAUUGAGAGAGAGUUCCGGCCAUGGGAGAUGGUGGAGGGCAAGUCUGGUUAAGGGC
rnacentral:rRNA from 1 species